GGGGUUCUGACAAACCUUUGGCAAUCCUAAAUGCAAACAAUACCAAGGUUGAAAGCACUCACUUCGCAAGAUAUGACUCUACAACAUCAGCCCUGUUGCCUUUCAUAACCUUCUAGUAGACUCCACCUCUACUUUUGUUGGAUCCGACUCUCCAUUCAAUGAGCUUAUUCAUUGCAAUGCUUCUUAGUUCUCAUAUAUAUGAGAGGCCAAGCACAGAAUUGG
rnacentral:misc_RNA from 1 species